UGGGCAACCUGCCCCUAGCUCUGGGAUAACUGCGGGAAACUGUAGCUAAUACCGGAUGUGACACGAGACUGCAUGGUCUUCGUGUGGAAAGAUUUAUCGGCUAGGGAUGGGCCCGCGGUCUAUCAGCUUGUUGGUGGGGUAAUGGCUCACCAAGGCGACGACGGAUAACCGGCCUGAGAGGGCGACCGGUCACACUGGGACUGAGACACGGCCCAGACUCCUACGGGAGG
rnacentral:rRNA from 1 species